GUGCUUGCUUCAGCAGCACAUAUACUGAAAUUGGAACAACACAGAGAUUAGCAUGGCCCCUGCACAAGGAUGACAUGCAAAUUUGUGAAGCAUUCCAUAUUUUU